rnacentral:rRNA from 1 species
CCUACGGGAGGCAGCAGUGAGGAAUAUUGGUCAAUGGACGAGAGUCUGAACCAGCCAAGUAGCGUGAAGGAUGACUGCCCUAUGGGUUGUAAACUUCUUUUAUAAAGGAAUAAAACGAGGCACGUGUGCCUUUUUGCAUGUACUUUAUGAAUAAGGAUCGGCUAACUCCGUGCCAGCAGCCGCGGUAAUACGGAGGAUCCGAGCGUUAUCCGGCUUUAUUGGGUUUAAAGGGAGCGUAGAUGGGUUGUUAAGUCAGUUGUGAAAGUUUGCGGCUCAACCAUAAAAUUGCAAUUGAUACUGGCAGUCGUGAGUACAGUUGAGGUAGGCGGAAUUCGUGGUGUAGCGGUGAAAUGCUUAGAUAUCACGAAGAACCCCGAUUGCGAAGGCAGCUUACUAAACUGUGACUGACAUUGAUGCUCGAAAGUGUGGGUAUCAAACAGGAUUAGAUACCCGUGUAGUC